UACGUAGGGUGCAAGCGUUGUCCGGAAUUAUUGGGCGUAAAGGGCUCGUAGGCGGUUUGUCGCGUCGGGAGUGAAAACUCAGGGCUUAACCCUGAGCCUGCUUCCGAUACGGGCAGACUAGAGGUAUGCAGGGGAGAACGGAAUUCCUGGUGUAGCGGUGAAAUGCGCAGAUAUCAGGAGGAACACCGGUGGCGAAGGCGGUUCUCUGGGCAUUACCUGACGCUGAGGAGCGAAAGUGUGGGGAGCGAACCGG
rnacentral:rRNA from 1 species